rnacentral:rRNA from 2 species
AGAGUUUGAUCCUGGCUCAGGAUGAACGCUGGCGGCGUGCCUAAUACAUGCAAGUCGAACGCUGGAGAUCUAGCUUGCUAGAUCGAAGGAGUGGCGAACGGGUGAGUAAUACAUAAGCAACCUACCCACGAAGACUGGGAUAAUCUCUGGAAACGGGGACUAAUACCGGAUAGGUAAUCGGAAGGCAUCUUCUGAUUAUUAAAGGUUAAAAACACUGGUGGAUGGGCUUAUGGCGCAUUAGUUAGUUGGUGAGGUAACGGCCCACCAAGACGAUGAUGCGUAGCCGGCCUGAGAGGGUGAACGGCCACAUUGGGACUGAGACACGGCCCAGACUCCUACGGGAGGCAGCAGUAGGGAAUUUUCGGCAAUGGGGGAAACCCUGACCGAGCAACGCCGCGUGAGUGAUGACGGCCUUCGGGUUGUAAAGCUCUGUUGUAAGGGAAGAACGGUAGAUAGAGAAUAUCUAAGUGACGGUACCUUACCAGAAAGCCACGGCUAACUACGUGCCAGCAGCCGCGGUAAUACGUAGGUGGCGAGCGUUAUCCGGAAUUAUUGGGCGUAAAGGGUGCGUAGGCGGCCUGUUAAGUAAGUGGUUAAAUUGUUGGGCUCAACCCAAUCCAGCCACUUAAACUGGCAGGCUAGAGUAUUGGAGAGGCAAGUGGAAUUCCAUGUGUAGCGGUAAAAUGCGUAGAUAUAUGGAGGAACACCAGUGGCGAAGGCGGCUUGCUAGCCAAAGACUGACGCUCAUGCACGAAAGCGUGGGGAGCAAAUAGGAUUAGAUACCCUAGUAGUCCACGCCGUAAACGAUGAAUACUAAGUAUUGGGGAAACUCAGUGCUGCAGCUAACGCAAUAAGUAUUCCGCCUGUGGAGUAUGCACGCAAGUGUGAAACAUAAAGGAAUUGACGGGGGCCCGCACAAGCGGUGGAGUAUGUGGUUUAAUUCGAC